rnacentral:rRNA from 1 species
CCUACGGGGGGCAGCAGUAGGGAAUAUUGCUUAAUGGGCGAAAGCCUGAAGCAGCAACGCCGCGUGUGUGAAGAAGGCCUUCGGGUUGUAAAACACUUUUUGAGGGGAUGAGGAAGGACAGUACCCUCAGAAUAAGCCUCGGCUAACUACGUGCCAGCAGCCGCGGUAAAACGUAGGAGGCGAGCGUUAUCCGGAUUUACUGGGCGUAAAGCGCGUGUAGGCGGCACGGCAAGUUGGAUGUGAAAGCUCCCGGCUUAACUGGGAGAGGUCGUUCAAAACUGCCGAGCUAGAGUGCGGGAGAGGGAGGUGGAAUUCCGGGUGUAGUGGUGAAAUGCGUAGAUAUCCGGAGGAACACCAGUGGCGAAAGCGGCCUCCUGGCCCGCAACUGACGCUCAGACGCGAAAGCUAGGGUAGCAAACGGGAUUAGAUACCCGGGUAGUCU